GUGUCAGCAGCCGCGGUAAUACAGGGGGGGCAAGCGUUGUUCGGAAUUACUGGGCGUAAAGGGUUCGUAGGUGGCUCACUAAGUCACACGUGAAAUCCCUCAGCUUAACUGGGGAACUGCGUGUGAAACUGGAGAGCUUGAGGGUAGGAGAGGAAUGCGGAAUUCCAGGUGUAGCGGUGAAAUGCGUAGAUAUCUGGAGGAACACCGGUGGCGAAGGCGGCAUUCUGGACUAUUUCUGACACUGAUGAACGAAAGCCAGGGGAGCAAACGGGAUUAGAUACCCUGGUAGUCC
rnacentral:rRNA from 1 species